GGGGCUGCACGAACUCCAUGCCGCACUCGGAGCAGAUGUAGGGCCGGAUGUCCUUGUGCUUCAUCAUGUGGUUCUGCAGCUGGCUCGGGUACUGGAAGGUCUUGUCGCACUCGGAGCAGCUGUACUGGAUGGGGCCCCGGGAACCAAUUUCCCCUGCUCUCCUCUCUGUCUUCGGGGCCUUUGCUGCUGGAGGAGGCGGCGGCGGGGGGAGUAUGCAAGCCCACACAGGUGAAGAGACUUUCCUGCUCGAUUUGGAUCUCAGAUUUUCCGAGUCACCCACUCCAAGCAAGGUGUGCUGCUGGGGUACAUCAAGUGGAUGAGAUCAGUGUGAUUAAGAAAAGCAUACAACCCAGCGUUACAAAGUCAUCUUGGUAAUUUACACACUUUAAUCUUCCACCUGAAGCCACCUCAGGUGAAAAAUUCCAAGGCUGUGAAUCUCUAAAACUUAGACACACAUGUGUCUAAGUAAAGCUUGGCCUUCGAGGACUCCUGAGGCACCUGACCUUGCCUUGCUGAGCCAGUUACUGCAUCCUGGUGACUCUAUCAGGUUCUGAUCCCUGAAUUCACAUGCAGUUAUAAAGGGUGUGUUGGGCCCUGGUGUGAGACGUUGUUGCUCCUAUAAGAAUAACUGGCUUCCAGAUCAGAUUAAUGUGCCCUAUUGAAAUAGAGAGGAAAAAAUGGCAGCUCCUUUCUCUGGAUGUCAUUUUGUCUAUGGUUGGUUGUAUACCCUCUGUGGAGAGAAGAUUCUAUUUGCAAAAAGGCUCCUUGGACUGGACCCAAAUGCCAGGCUGCACAUGACUGUGACAGACACUGGCAGAGCCCAUCUGAGUGCACACUGGUUCUGUUUUAUUCUGAUCUGGUUUAAAGAGCUAAAGAUUCCUAUUUCAUAGAGCUUCAUAGAGCUUGAUUGUAGAAUUAGUUUAAAAAAAGGGGGGGGGACAGACAUAUCAGAACAUGGGCCAGAAUUUAAUGAAUUUUUUGUGUAUUUUAUUGUUAAGAAGGUAUUAGAAAAUGUAUGACUAAUGAUGUCUGGUAUCUUUAAACUGUGUGUUCUGUCUUAUACUAGAAGGUACUUACUUGGAAAUGAAUGUUAUCACUAAUUUUGAAACAAAAGGUACUUUGGUAUAUACAAUUAUUAUUGCUUUUGUUUAAUAUUUGUGUUUUCAGUUGUGACAUAGUAUACUAAUUGAGUCACUUUACUGUAUUAGAAUUGACAUCUUUUUUUUAUUUAAAAACAUUUUUUAAUGUUUAUUUAUUUUUGAGAGAGAGACAGAGAGUGAGUGGGGGAGGGGCAGAGGGAAAGGGAGACAGAAUCCGGAGCAGCCUCCAGGCUCUGAGCAAGCUGUCAGUACAGAGCUUGAUGUGAGGCUUGAACUCACAAACUGCGAGAUCAUGACCUGAGCCGAAGUUGGACACUUAACCGACUGAGCCAACCAGGCGCCCCUAGGAUUGACAUUUCUAAUGCAAUACUGAUUUCAAAAGCAUAUUUAUUUUCAGUGUUGGAAUUUUUAUUUGAUCACCAUCGACCUUCUAAGGCAAAGAACAUCGUUGAACAGAGAUGAUGUGUCCUUUAACAUCAACAGCAGAAUUGUGUCCCCCAAAUGCAGAGACUUUACAUAUGUGCAUUGUAAUUUCCUCCCUAUUUUAAUAUGAUAAAAAUUUUCCCCAGUUUCUGACUUGUGUAUAUACACACCCCACCCCUAAAAUAGUAGUGUGCCUGUUCUAGAAUAAAAUCAUUAACUCAGGAGCUUUAAAAAGGCAUUGAGAUCCAUCCAUGGACAUCUUUUCCAGAUCUUUAAAACAGCAGUCCCCUCUGCAAAAAGGUCCUAAGGGAUGCUACCAAUCUACAGAAGUCAAGGAGAACUAGAUCUGCUUCCUCUCAGCAUUCUUGAGAAAUAAAUCAGGUGUAGCUGCUGCUAGUUAUUAAUAUCUCUGUCUUCUGAGCACAGGGUGCUAAGGAGAAGCCCUAGGGUGUAAAAGAAAAACACAAAAAAGCAAACUCAAUGGGGAUGGGGAGGGUUGAACGGAAGAGCAGGGAAAGGAUGUCAUCCUUGGGAGGUAAUCUAUCUUGAAAUCAAUCAACUUAAAACUCCCAGUGGACUCUACAAAAAUAUUAACAAACUCCUAGAAAACCUCACUGUGUGCCACCCGCAUGCUCCCUUCUAUUUCUAAAAAUAGGCCCACAGACAUCCAUGGCACAUAGGGAUUCCCAUGCAGGAGGCAAGAGUGAUCUGAGAGCAGCAGUAAUCUUGGCCAAGGACAGAGGGUAGGGGGGCUGCGGGCCCUCCCCCGGCCAGUAACCUGUGACUUCUCCCAGAAAAUUGCAUAUUAUAAGACAGUUCCCCACCGGGAUGAGCAAGACAAUAUUUAAAGAAGAACUGAAAUUGUGAAAUAGCCACCUCUGGGAUAAUCGGGAGCCUUGCUUUGGAGGCUGAGGGUAUCUGGGUUUGAAUUCUUUGUGUUAGCAGUUUUGAGAAACUGAGCAAGUUAAUUUUGGGGCUUGGUUUCCUCAUCCAUGGGGUUGGGAUAUCCUCCCCUGGGUUUUUAGAGACUUAAAACAGAGCAUGUAUGUGGAAGUGUGUUAAACACUAGUCAGUGUGGUGCUCGUGAGGCUAAGGAAGAGUGGACAGGAGGGGAGGACAGCUACUGGGAUCAGUAGAUAGACACUGACUGACAGCAUCUCUCUUUUCCAAGCUGAAGCUCUUGUCCACAUCUGGGUCUCUGCUUUGCAGGUCAAAACCAAGACUUGACCCAUUUGCACUGAGUUGGUCUUGUCACAACAGUGAACGUGAACCAGGCUAAAGGAGGCCAUUGGGUGAGGCCAGGAAGUGUGUGUUCCCUCAGUGAGGAGAUCAACCUUCUAGUUUGAGAAUAUUCCCCCAUCUCUUCUCUGUGGAUCUUUGUUCUAUUGGGGAGAUAGCCCUGAGCUUACAUUGAUAACAGAUGGUGAGUGGGGACAGAAGGGAUUGAGUGGUCUCCUGAGCUACUUCAUCCAGUCUGUGGGACCCUGAAGUAUCGCCCCCAGUAUAAGAUCAGAGGUCACCUUCCCAGGGACAGGAGGACCUGUUUGUCAAACCCUAAGUCUCCAAUACAAGGAUGGUGCUGAGUCAAUACUGGCAAACUGACUCUUGAGACUCCCACUGGAGUGUGAGGGCAUGGGCUGGGUCUGUUUUGUUUACUGCUGCAUUUCCAGUGUCCAUCAUGGACUGACAGCUAACCUCUCUGUGUCCAUAUGAGAGGUUCUUGUUAUAACAUUCCUCCAAAGUGGGAUUUUUUGCAGAGCAGAGGCUCAGUAAACUGCUAUGGGAUGAGAGAAGGAAUGAAAAGUUCUUGUUUUUAAAGUCUCCACCUGGAACUUUUAAGUGUAUCAUUUUAUCUCACUUUAUUUAGACUGCAGGUGACUUUUUGAAACAUCCCUAAUCAGAGCAUGAGCACACUCAUAAACUCUCAGGUAGCUAUUGUGGGAAGAACUCGAUAUAUACACCUUGUGUGCAUUGUUGCUUAUCCCCCUGAGUUUUCAAGGGCUCCUUUCUCUGAACUGUCCCUCAAAUCACAGUAAACCAUAAACCCUGGCUAUAUCCAAGAUGGGAAAUAUAUGGAAAAUAAUGCUAGAGAGCCAUCUUCCAAGUGCCACAAAGUUCUGCAAACCACUCAGAAAACAGAUGCCUGAAAGUCCAACGGGAAAUAGUGGAUACAAAGACAGACCCUUGGAUCAAGACUGGGAAGCACAGAUCAAGACUAGGUAGUCACCCUGCACUCUUCUACCCAAAGGAGAUGUUUGAAAAGUUAGUAGCAGUCCACUUUGUGUACUAUGAGGUAAGGGUGCAGGCUUAGAAUAAUGAAUUGCUAUGGUCAGAGAAUGUUCCUGACUUUCUUCCUUGUAUACUCAAUCACCAUAGCAAAUAGGCUGUAAGUCAGGAAGCACAUAGCUUGGGGAGGCAUAUAUUGUGUCGAUCUGUGUUAGAGGCAUCUGGGACUCAAGACUACUUCUUUAACAGGUAUCAUCCACAAGAGUUAGUUAUGAGGAAAUAGGGAAUGAAAAGAUGUUAAAAAUAAAAUCUUCUUUUGAACCAUAAAGACCAAUUAGAAAUGCAAAGCCUAAGAUGAAACUGCAUUUAGUUUGGAGGAAAAAAAAAUGCUUCUAAUAAUGCCCUUUAAUCAGGAAUUCACCUACUGCACAAAAAUAUAAAUAUUCCCCAGAUAAAAUUACUGGUAUUUUGUGGUUCUCAUUCAAAUCGAAGGUCAUUCCAGUAAAUGCUAUCAGAAGAGUCAUGGUGAGUCAGCAUGCCAGAGUCAGAUCUGUUAUCUUGACUCCAUAACACUGAUUUUUGUUCAUCCUGAAAUUCAUGAAGUAAUAUUCUCUUGUGUUCUUUAUUCCUUGAAGAUUUCCACGUUUCAUUGGAAAAUGUUACAUUUUGCUCCUAGAGACACUGGCUUCCCUUUUAAUUUGAGAGAGUGGCACUUUCUUAUGUGGUCUGCCCUGGAGCUCUGCUCUCAACAAAGAUGGAAGCAGGGAGGAGAUGGGAGUUGAGGGGACAUUUCAGAAUAAAGAGCAGUGCUAAGAGAAACAAAGGGGUAGGGAGUUGUGGGAAGGUAACGGGAAGGCGGGAUGGCAGAUGCAUGGACUGACAACUAACCUCUCUCUGUCCAUGUGGGAAGAAUGUUACAACAUUCCUCCACCGUGGGAUUUUAUUGGAUCACCUGGUUCUUUGUGAAGUUUUGGUAACAAAGGGAGACUUUGAGUCUUGAAAUUAAACAUUCUAAUGAUUGAACCCCAUUGUCUUAAUAUGUACAUAGUUAUAUUGCUAAUUUCUUCAUCUGCAUAUAUUUGGCAAAUAACGAGUCAAUCUUACUUUGCUAUAAUUGGCAGGAAUAGAAGGAUCUGUGUAUGCAGAUGCUAGAUAGGGCAAUAUGUUCUAAAGAAGUGAAUGGUCAGCCAUGUCACUCCCUGGAUUGUAGGAUUGACAAGAAAAGGUAGUUAGAUACCUGGUAGCCAGACCCCAGGUAGCCCCUUCUGGAUGCCCUUGUGGCCCUUAUUUAAUUUAUAAACCCGAGUUCCUCCUAUUUUGUUAUAAAAAGUAAUCCGUCAACCCACAGCAUGAGCUGAGUCUUCUAGGGGAUCAGAAAAUAUUCAUUGGUAAUGAGACCUGUCUACCUGUGAAAUAGUCAAUCAAACUCACAUAAUUUAUUUUUUUAAGUUCCUAAAUAUAUCACCAAGACAUUACAUAAAGUCAAGUUUAGUUUUUCUUUUUCUUUUUUUAAAUGUUUAUUUUUGAGAGAGACAGAGCAUUGGUGGGGAAGGGGCAGAGAGAGAGGGAGACACAGAAUCCGAAGCAGGCUCCAGGCUCUGAGCUGUCAGCAUAGAGCCCAACAUGGGGCUUGAACCCACGAGCCUUGAGAUCAUGACCUGAGCUGAAGUCAGAUGCCCAACCAACUGAGCCCCCAGGCGUCCCUCAAGUUUAGUUUUACAAUGUUUAAAUUGUCCAUGCUAGUUUUGCAUUUAUUACCCCCCACACACAUGUAUUUUUUAAAGAGGCCUUAUUAAAAUAACGACAACAAAGUCUGGUACUAACUUGCAUAGAUUAAAUAGAUGUGGGACAAAUAAAUAAAUAAAUAAAUAGAUGUGGGUUUCAGUUAAGAAAGUGUUCAAUGCCUAGGUCAAAUUUCUGGAAAGCAGGAAUGAAUAUAAUUACUUGAGCCCUGGAACAGCUGCUAGGGUGUUGGGGUUAUCUCUGCCCUCGUGACCCAUUUAAAGGAAGGAAAUGAAUUGGAGAUGUGACUUAGCAGUUCUCUUUCCCAGCCCUCAGAGCUAAUAUAUCUCUUGUGGAUAGGGCCCUAACUGGAAUGUUAAAAAUUUUCUCCUACUUUCUUUUGGGGGAAAUGUCUUUAGAAUACAUGUCAAUUUUUUUUUUUUUUUUUGCUUUUAUGAUCAUAGGUCGAGUACACUUGAUAUACCUACUCUCAGCUAAGCAAAUAUACACAUGAAUGUUAGAAAGCUUCAUUUUGUCUAUCUCUGGGGAAUGACAGCAUAUUUGGUUAGGUAGGCCUUAGAAUGGGUAGCUAAUGCCAGAAAAUAUGACCAUCUGGCAUCAAAAGUGGUAAGAAUUAACAUGUAAUAAAUGAGAUUAGCCAUUGAUGGAGAAGGAACCUAUCUUCAAAGUAGAACUUGAGGCAGUAUUUUUGGGAGAGGGGAGGGGAGAACUGUUUUGUACCUUGAUUGUGGUGCUGGUUACACAACUAUGUAUCUGUCAAAACUCCUAAAACUCAAAUGAAUUUUACUGUAUGUAAUGUAAAAAUAAGCUUAAAAAUAUUUUUUAAAAAUGCCAAAAAAUGCUGCUCUGCGCAUUAUUAUAAAAAAGAGUAAUGGAGGAUAUUUGAGAAAUAUUCAACAAUAGUCAAGGAAACCAGACUCCACCCUCUAAUCAAGUCUUAUCUUUGUAAUGCAUCUAAUAACAUGCAUAUGGUAUAUGAAGAGGGGAGCUUUGUUGUAAGUAUUUGAUGAUCUUAGUUACUGCUCUUUCCAAAGGGGAGACUCAGAAUAUGGCCAAUAUACCAAUUUUUUUUUACUUUGUUUUGUUUUGUAUGCUAUUCAGCAAGAAUAUUAUAGGGGCACAGACGGUGUUUUAAGUUAUCCUUCAAGGUCUAAUCUGUGGCCCUGAUUGCAUAUUCAGUAAAGAAUCGUCUGUAAUUUCUCCAACAUUUUUGAAAUGUAAAGUCUACCGUCAGUGGACAAGAUCAGUCUGGUCAUUAGGAAAUAUAUUUCGGGGCGCCUGGGUGGCUCAGUCGGUUGAGCGGCCGACUUCGGCUCAGGUCAUGAUCUCGUGGUGCGUGAGUUCAAACCCCGCGUCGGGCUCUGUGCUGACUGCUCAGAGC